rnacentral:rRNA from 1 species
UACGUAGGGUGCGAGCGUUAAUCGGAAUUACUGGGCGUAAAGCGUGCGUAGGCGGUUGGCAAAGUCAGCUGUGAAAGCCCCGGGCUUAACCUGGGAAUGGCGGUUGAAACUAGUCGACUCGAAUCUGGCGAGGGGGUGGAAUUCCGACGUGUAGCAGGUGAAAUGCGUAGAGAUGAUGGAGGAACACCGGAUGGCGGAAGGGCAGCCCCCUGGGCUGAGAU